UCUUAUACCAUAUUCUAACUCAGCUGCAUAUGAGCUGCUAAAAUUGGAGAAUCAAUAUGUUCUCGGAAUCCAUUUUCUGCUAUGAUUCCAUUAGACUAAAAGUUUCUCAUAUUUUCUAAUUCUCAUGUGCUUGUCCUGCAAUUCAACAAACCUCUAAGGCUGACUACUUUUGUAUUUAUAUUGUUUUCAAUUUUUUUUUGGCAGAAGCAGUUGAAAUUCCAUAUUCAGAUCAUCAACCAGUUGUUGGAAUUCUCCUCCAAGGUUGUCAAUUGCCGGAGUUAAGGGAGAUUUGCUAGAUACAAGAAAGUAGUAGCAGAGAUGGCGGGUGAUAAUAGGGGUAAGGCUAUUGCUAAAGCCCCGAAAAAGUCAAAGAAGAAGAAGGGUCCAUUUAUACCACCAGAGGGCGUAGUGACAGGAACCCUUAAUUUUCCUAUGUUUUCUUGGAUAUGUAUAUGAUAUUUAAGUGUUUGAAUGUAGUUUUAAUUCGAAUUAGAAAUACUUUGAAGGUGAAUUUGAUUGUAGAAUGUAGUUAUGGUUGUUUAAGUGUUUCAAUCUAGUUGUAAUUUGAAUUAGAAGUACUUUAAAUUGAAAUUUGAGGUUGGAUUUGAUUGUAAAAAUGUUGUAGUUUAUGAGUGUAGAAGUACUUUGAUGAAUUGC